GAUACCCUGCCUUGUGCGUGACGGGGCCGAUUCUUCUGACCCUACAUGGUUAACUCCAUUGGGAGCUCGGCAUCCGGUGGCGGCGGCAAGCUGCAUUGCUUGCCUUAACCAGCGGUAGAGCACCCACCUCGAUAUUCGAGGUUCAGAAGACAAUGCCCUUGACGGCAAGGCGGGGUUUUU
rnacentral:other from 1 species